ACUAAACAGGAAAACAAGAAAAAAAGGAAAGAAAGAGAAAAAGGAAGGGAAAAAAGAAAGAUAAAAAAGAUUCCUACUCUGAAGAAAUCUAUGGCCUAGUUUCAGGAUUGGUGCCGACAACAAAAACCAAUUAUCCAUACCAGGUAAUAUGUGAGAUAAAUGAGCCGAGGGCUCCUCAUGGCUCCCCGUCACCCAGGAGAAAACAUCUUAACUGUAUCAGCUCCCAGAGUCCUCUGCCACCUUCAGGCCUGGCUGGCCAGCAAUACUCUUCCACCAGCCCUCGGCCCUCCAGCGCUAAAUGCUCCAGGCCUUUGUGAAUACCGUGCCACAUGCUGACACUUGUUAGACCCCCGGAAAACUCAGGUAUCCGGGAUCCCAGGCCAUGACCACGGUCACCCCAAUCACCAGGCGGAUUUGAGAGCUUGCUGCAAACUGCACGAGGCUUUAUUGUAAUUUAACGAGCUAACCCCAUGUUAGCUCGGGUCUUUCACCCACCCACCAUGGCGGAUGGCUUGCAAAAGACAGCUCCUAGGGGCUCCCAAGAGAUCUUGUAGGGCAGCAUAAGGGGAGUGUCUAGGGGUACGCACAGGCUCAGGAUUGGUGUGUCUCCAGGCUUGGAGGGUUGCCCUGUGUUGAUUGGCCAACUGGUUGUUAUGGCCCAUAGGCCCUCCUGGGGUGGUUGCUAUGCUCUGUGCGUCAUUGCUGUGCACUUGUCCAUAAAGCACACCCAGAGCCGUAAAGCAUAGCGCCACCAGCUAACCUCUGAUUGGUUCCUUGUCACGAGGCAGGCAUCUAACUUUCUAGUGUCUAGGACAAGGUCAGAAAAGCAUGUGUUCGGCUGUUAUGGCUGCCGAAAGAGGAGCUGGUCUCUUCACACUGUUGCUCUUAGAGGUCUCCCACAUCCAAUUGGGGCUGGUUCACCAUUGUCCUUUAAGCCAAAACUCGGUUGUCACUUUCUCUGGGAAGUGUAAUCCGAUAUCCCAGCCUGUGGAGGAGUACCUGACCUGUCCUGUACUUGACCUGAGGGGAGUGCCCUCCCAGCAUUCACUGAAGGACCUACCUUCUGGUAGCUUGCCAAUGCAACUGUUGGGGUGUGGCAGGCUGGGGAGCGUGAGCCACAUUCUGUGGGUGUUGGUUUUCUCCUUCUAUCAUGUAAGCCCUGGGGAGUAAAACCCAGGCUUCAGGCCUGGCAGUCAGCGUGCCUUUACCUCCCAGCAAAGGGGAGAGGCAGACAGAAGGCAGCCUCGGGGAUGAAAAAGAACAAAGUCUAAAGAUACAUACACAUGAAAACCCCACAGUGAAACCCAGACCUCUGUUUGCUAACCAAAGGGGGAAGAAGGCCUUCCAGGAGGAAAGCUUCCUAUACACUCAUGCUCAUUGACCACACAUGACUAAUGCCAGAUGACAUGCUUCCGCCCACAUGCCACCACCAGUGGGAACUUUUAUGAGCGACUCGAGCUCUUCAAACUGAAGGAAUAAGGCUAACACAGGUGACUCAGCAGAAGACAGGGACCCUGCAGGAGCUGGGCUCGGUGGUGGAGCCUUUGGGUGUUGGCUUGUCUGAAUUGAAACCUCAGGUUCUAGCUACUCCUGGCUGUCCUGGAACGCUGGUCCUGGAUUCUACAAGAAAGCAGGCUGAGCAAGCUAUGGAGAGCAAGCCAGUAAGCAGCACCCUCCAUGGCCUCCACAUCAGCUCCUGCCUCUGGGUCCUGCCCUGUCUGAGUUCCUUUCCCUCCUCCUCCCUCCCUCCCUCCCUCCCCCCUCCCUCCCUCCCUCCUCCCUCCCUCCCUCCCUCCCUUCCUUCCUUCCUUCCGUUGUGAACUGUGAUGUGGAAGUAUAAGCGAAAUAAACCCUUUCCUCCCCUACUUGCUUUGGUCAUGGUGUUUCAUCACAGCGACAGGAACCCCAACUAAAGAAAGUAACAAAUUCAUUUCCCUCUUCCCUUUCCUUUUCAUUGCUUAAUUGACGCAAAUGAGAAUUUGGAGCUGCCAGUAAGCCCAGAAGAGGGAGUCCUCAGAGCUGGUUUUUAUCGUGUCUCCUCCUUUUCCUCCUCCUGCUCCCCUGGCUCUAAGAAUGAUGCAGGCCUGUUGGUGUAAACGCAACUCCUUUGAAUGGUUUGAGGGUGUCACUGGCUUCACUGACUCUCUGUUUCCAGAAUCCAAAGAGACCUCAGGAUGAACAUGGGAGGGUGAACUUGGUGGGCUCUGAGCUGGGCCAGAAGUAGCUUCACUACCCAGACUGAUGCUGGCCAAAAGUACACGCUCUCUCUC
ensembl:lncRNA